rnacentral:rRNA from 1 species
GAUGAACGCUGGCGGCGUGCCUAAUACAUGCAAGUCGAGCGAACAGACGCGGAGCUUGCUCCUCUGACGUUAGCCGAGGACGGGUGAGUAACACGUGUAUAACCUACCUAUAAGACUGGGAUAACUUCGGGAAACCGGAGCUAAUACCGGAGAAUAUAUUGAACCGCAUGGUUCAAUGGUGAGAGACGGUUUUGCUGUCAGUUCUAGAUGGAUCCGCGCCGCAUUAGCUAGUUGGUAAGGUAACGGCUUACCAAGGCGACGAUGCGUAGCCGACCUGAGAGGGGGUUCGGCCACAUUGGAGCGUGGACACGGUCCAGACUCCUACGGUAGGCAGCAGUAGGGAAUCUUCCGCAAUGGGCGAAAGCCUGACGGAGCAACGCCGCGUGAGUGAUGAAGGUCUUCGGAUCGUAAAACUCUGUUAUGAGGGAAGAACAAAUGUGUAAGUAACUAUGCACGUCUUGACGGUACCUAAUCAGAAAGCCACGGCUAACUACGUG